rnacentral:rRNA from 1 species
UACGGAGGGGGCUAGCGUUGUUCGGAAUGACUGGGCGUAAAGCGCGCGUAGGCGGGCUGGAAAGUCAGGGGUGAAAUCCCGGGGCUCAACCCUGGAAUUGCCUUUGAGACUCCCAGCCUUGAGUUCGAGAGAGGUGAGUGGAAUUCCGAGUGUAGAGGUGAAAUUCGUAGAUAUUCGGAGGAACACCAGUGGUGAAGGCGGCUCACUGGCUCGACACUGACGCUGAGGUGCGAAAGCGUGGGGAGCAAACAGG